rnacentral:rRNA from 1 species
CAAUAGCGUAUAUUAACGUUGUUGCAGUUAAAAAGCUCGUAGUUGGAUUUCGGAUGGGACUUGCCGGUCCGUCGUUUCGAUGUGCACUGGCCAGUCCUAUCUUGUUGUCGGGGACUAGCUCCUGGGCUUCACUGUCCGGGACUAGGAGCUGACGAGGUUACUUUGAGUAAAUUAGAGUGUUCAAAGCAAGCCUACGCUCUGAAUACAUUAGCAUGGAAUAACACGAUAGGACUCUGGCUUAUCUUGUUGGUCUGUGAGACCAGAGUAAUGAUUAAGAGGGACAGUCGGGGGCAUUCGUAUUUCAUUGUCAGAGGUGAAAUUCUUGGAUUUAUGAAAGACGAACUUCUGCGAAAGCAUUUGUCAAGGAUGUUUUCAUUA